AUUUCUAAAAUCCCACCUCAUGAGCAUGUGAUGGUUGUUAUACAGCAUGGAAAGUGUAAGGAAUGGAAAGGUGAAUAUACUGUUCAAAGUGACAAGUUUGCAACACGAAUUUUUCUGAAUCAAGAAAUUGAUGAAGUUGAUGAGCUAAGGAGGAGGAAAUGUCUUGUGUUGUGGUUGCGACAAUUAAGAUUGUGCAAGAAGAGUAUGGUUGGUU